GAGCACGCCGCGUGAGUGAUGAAGGUUUUCGGAUCGUAAAGCUCUGUUGUUAGGGAAGAACAAGUACCGUUCGAAUAGGGCGGUACCUUGACGGUACCUAACCAGAAAGCCACGGCUAACUACGUGCCAGCAGCCGCGGUAAUACGUAGGUGGCAAGCGUUGUCCGGAAUUAUUGGGCGUAAAGGGCUCGCAGGCGGUUCCUUAAGUCUGAUGUGAAAGCCCCCGGCUCAACCGGGGAGGGUCAUUGGAAACUGGGGAACUUGAGUGCAGAAGAGGAGAGUGGAAUUCCACGUGUAGCGGUGAAAUGCGUAGAGAUGUGGAGGAACACCAGUGGCGAAGGCGACUCUCUGGUCUGUAACUGACGCUGAGGAGCGAAAGCGUGGGGAGCGAACAG
rnacentral:rRNA from 1 species